rnacentral:rRNA from 1 species
GACGAACGCUGGCGGCGCGCUUAACACAUGCAAGUCGAACGGAAAGGCCUGCUUUCCCUUGUGGAUUGCGGGUACUCGAGUGGCGAACGGGUGAGUAACACGUGAGUGAUCUGCCCCCAACUUGGGUAUAAGCCUGGGAAACUGGGUCUAAUUCCCGAUAGGACUGCAGGGUGGUGCCUGUGGUGGAAAACGAUUUUCUAGUGGUUGGGGAUGAGCUCGCGGCCUAUCAGCUUGUUGGUGGGGUAAUGGCCUACCAAGGCGGCGACGGGUAGCCGGCCUGAGAGAGUGGACGGCCACAUUGGGACUGAGAUACGGCCCAGACUCCUACGGGAGGCAGCAGUGGGGAAUAUUGCACAAUGGGCGGAAGCCUGAUGCAGCGACGCCGCGUGGGGGAUGACGGCCUUCGGGUUGUAAACUCCUUUCGACCGCGAGGAAGCCACCUGGUUGGAAGGGUGGUGACGGUAGUGGUAGAAGAAGCACCGGCUAACUACGUG